rnacentral:rRNA from 1 species
AGCCGGGAACUGUGUCUAAUACUUCAUAAGAGUUUGAAGUUGGAAUACACUUACUCUGAAACAUUAGGCUCAAGGAUAAGACUGCGGCUGAUUAGCUUGUUGGUGGGGUAACUGCCUACCAAGGCGAUGAUCAGUAGGGGCUCUUAGCGGAGUGGCCCCGAGAAGGAAUCUGAGACACUAUUCCUAGCCCUACGGGGUGCAGCAGCUGCGAAUCUUCUACAAUGCACGCAAGUGUGAUAGAGCGAGCCAAAGUGCUUAACUUUUUGUUAAGCUUUUCUUUAGCGUAAAUACCUAGAGGAAUAAGGACUGGGAAAGACCGGUGCCAGCCGCCGCGGUAAUACCGGCAGUUCAAGUCGCAUCCACUUUUAUUGGGUCUAAAACAUCCGUAGCUUGUUUAUUAAGUCUCUUGUGAAAUCCCAUAUCUCAAGUAUGGUGAAGUGCAGGAGAUACUGAUAAGCUUUUGAGAUCGGUAGACGUAAGGAGUACGGAGAAGGUAAUGGUAAAAUAUGUUAAUCUUCUUUGGACUAACAAUUUAGCGAAGGCACCUUACGAGGACGAAUCUGACAGUGAGGGAUGAAGGCCAGGGGCGCAAAACGGAUUAGAUACCCGUGUAGUCCUGGCAGUAAACACUGUACACUAAACAUCGGGCCCUCUUCGGGAGGAUUCGGUGCUGAAGGGAAGCCGAAGAGUGUACUACCUGGGAAGUAUAGUCGCAAGGUCGAAACUUAAAGGAU